ACACGACCUUAAUAUAGGUAUCUUGCCGCACAAAAAUCGAUUUUCACUGUUAUCGAAUGGUUGUGCUCAUUGCACAGCAACCUCAACUUCUAACCAUGGGAAAUUUGGAAAAUACAUUUACGAACCGUAGCGCACGAAUCCGGUACGACUACGAUAUCGGGUACAACCACGGCUGCAGUGCCGCUGCACGUCUGUGUUGUGAUACUACUCACGUUAACGGAAUGCAUUGAUUACGCGGCAUAAUCAUGGGAAUUCCCCGGUUGAAUAAUUUGUACGUGCAAGAUUUACCCACAUCUCUUGAGUUAACUCCCCUUUAACAUGUUUCGCAAACGCUCGUAUUUAGUACUAUAUAUGUUCGAAUGCGGAAAAUUACUUGCCCGUAUUGUUUGAAAAUAAUUAUUUGAAAGGCCUGUUUCUACAUACAGACUUUACUUGAUAGCCGCUGACCUAUUACCUAUAUUUUCUUAACGCAGUGAAGACAAUAGGCUAACAUGGCUGAUGGAGGAAUGGGUGGACUCGGCAGCGGUGGACCAGGAAUUUCUCCUGCACUUGGAUCUGGCCCAAGCAACCCAGAAGGAUUAAGCGGGAUGAAAGGUCAGGGUGGCGCCGGUCCAGAAAAUCCGGAUCCCAAGCCGGCAGUUCCCGACCAACCGGGAGACACCAUGCACACAACCAGAGCGCCACGCAGUGGACAACCCGGAGCGGGAAAUAUCCCAGAGCCUGAAGGAAAGCAUGACCCUACACAACCCAACAAGGUUGACAAGGACAAACCUAAGAAAGUGUGAUCUGGGUUCUAAAUGUUGUUAGUUUGUACUUCGGAAAUCUGAUAUGGUUAUAAUUUUAUAUAGAUAUCAUAUAUCUAUAUUGACCUCAUGAAGCACGAUACCGUUGAUGCACUUAUAAGAGUUACCGGCUUAUAUAUCGUAAAACAGAUUCCGUUUUUAAAGCUUUUGGACAUCGUGUAACUGAUUACUUUUUACUUCGCUAUUAAAGUCCGUGUGGCAAG